AGCGAACGCUGGCGGCAGGCUUAACACAUGCAAGUCGAACGCAUCCUUCGGGGUGAGUGGCAGACGGGUGAGUAACACGUGGGAACGUACCCUUCGAUCUGGGAUAACUUCGGGAAACUGGAGCUAAUACCGGAUACGCCCUUUUGGGGAAAGGUUUACUGUCGAAGGAUCGGCCCGCGUCUGAUUAGCUAGUUGGUGGGGUAACGGCCUACCAAGGCGACGAUCAGUAGCUGGUCUGAGAGGAUGAUCAGCCACACUGGGACUGAGACACGGCCCAGACUCCUACGGGAGGCAGCAGUGGGGAAUAUUGGACAAUGGGCGCAAGCCUGAUCCAGCCAUGCCGCGUGAGUGAUGAAGGCCUUAGGGUUGUAAAGCUCUUUUGUCCGGGACGAUAAUGACGGUACCGGAAGAAUAAGCCCCGGCUAACUCCGUG
rnacentral:rRNA from 1 species